rnacentral:rRNA from 1 species
GAUGAGCAUGCGUCCCAUUAGCUUGUUGGUAAGGUAACGGCUUACCAAGGCAACGAUGGGUAGGGGUCCUGAGAGGGAGAUCCCCCACACUGGUACUGAGACACGGACCAGACUCCUACGGGAGGCAGCAGUGAGGAAUAUUGGUCAAUGGGCGCAAGCCUGAACCAGCCAUGCCGCGUGCAGGAUGAAGCAUCUAUGGUGUGUAAACUGCUUUUGUACGAGAAGAAACACUCCUUCGUGAAGGAGCUUGACGGUAUCGUAAGAAUAAGGACCGGCUAACUCCGUGCCAGCAGCCGCGGUAAUACGGAGGGUCCAAGCGUUAUCCGGAAUCAUUGGGUUUAAAGGGUCCGUAGGCGGUUUUGUAAGUCAGUGGUGAAAGCCCAUCGCUCAACGGUGGAACGGCCAUUGAUACUGCAAGACUUGAAUUAUUGGGAAGCAACUAGAAUAUGUAGUGUAGCGGUGAAAUGCUUAGAUAUUACAUGGAAUACCAAUUGCGAAGGCAGGUUGCUACCAAUACAUUGACGCUGAUGGA